GACGAACGCUGGCGGCGUGCUCAACACAUGCAAGUCGAACGGAAAGGCCCUGCUUUUGUGGGGUGCUCGAGUGGCGAACGGGUGAGUAACACGUGAGUAACCUGCCCUUGACUUUGGGAUAACUUCAGGAAACUGGGGCUAAUACCGGAUAGGAGCUCCUGCUGCAUGGUGGGGGUUGGAAAGUUUCGGCGGUUGGGGAUGGACUCGCGGCUUAUCAGCUUGUUGGUGGGGUAGUGGCUUACCAAGGCUUUGACGGGUAGCCGGCCUGAGAGGGUGACCGGCCACAUUGGGACUGAGGUACGGCCCAGACUCCUACGGGAGGCAGCAGUGGGGAAUAUUGCACAAUGGGCGGAAGCCUGAUGCAGCAACGCCGCGUGCGGGAUGACGGCCUCCGGGUUGUAAACCGCUUUCGCCUGUGACGAAGCGUGAGUGACGGUAAUGGGUAAAGAAGCACCGGCUAACUACGUG
rnacentral:rRNA from 1 species